rnacentral:rRNA from 1 species
GUCCACGGCCAUGCCGCCCUGAACAAGCCCAAUCCCAUCUGAUCUUGGAAGCCAAGCAGGGUUGGGCCUGGUUAGUACUUGGAUAGAAGACUACCUAGGAAGACCAGGUGCUAUAGGCG